rnacentral:tRNA from 1 species
GCCUGGGUGGCUCAGUCGGUUGAGCGUCUGACUUCGGCUCAGGUCAUGAUCUCACGGUCCGUGAGUUCGAGCCCCAUGUUGGGCU